CUGGCAAUAUGUGAGGCAGCCAAGGAGAUGUCUGGCAAUGGAAAUUCUCCAAGUUUAAGCAUGGUGGACAGUAGUAAGCUUCUUGUUCUCUCUCUUGGAACUGGAGCGUCAAAGAGGGAUGUCGAGCUUGAGGUUGCCGAUGGAAGAGAAUUGGGACUCUUUAAUUGGUUCAUGGGGCCUACUAAUACCGCUCCAUUUUUUGAUGUUUUGUUUACUGCUAUGGAUGAUAUAUUGAACUCGUUGAAGUAUGCACGUCUGCUUUCUUCCAUGGUCUUAAAGACAACUAUCUUUGAAUCCAGACCGAUUGUCUGAAAUACACUUAAGUCUCCACAGAAAACUCAAAGAAAGAAAAUCUGGAGCAUCUGGAGGAGAUUGCGAAGGAUUUGUUGAAGAAACCUGUUUCACAAGUGAACUUGGAAACUGGUUUACAUGAACCAAUAGAGAACGGCGGCACAUACAAAGAAGCAUUGAUCAAGUUCGCCAAGAGACUGUCAGAAGAGAGGAGGUUUCGUCAGCAGCACUCCCAGACUAAUCUUUGUAUGAUUUAUACAUUUUAUUUUAUUUUAUUUUUUCUCUUCUUCACUAGUAUCUGAGGACAUAAACGCCAACAGAGAUGAUAAGGCACCGGUUGGUCAUUGUUUACAUCAAGAAGGCUUCAAUGGCUGAUGGCUAAAGCUGGGAAGGGUUAAGUUGCAGAGCUCUAAGCUCAAAUGUAGCAGAACA